rnacentral:ncRNA from 1 species
AGCCUGAGGCUUACUUUGACUCAACAUGGGAAAUCUCAUCCAACCCAGAAAUGGACAGGAUUCAUAGACUGACAGCUCUGUCUCAAUUCCGUGGGUUGUGGUACAUGGCCAUUUUUCAUGAAGCGAUUUAUCUGGUUAAUUCCAAUUAAAAUAAUUCUUAGCAAAAAAGGGUACACUAUAGGAACAGAAAUGAAGACUAGAGGAUUAAUAAAACUUAAGUAAUGUCCCUCUUGGUGGCAUUCAUCCU